UACGUAGGGGGCAAGCGUUGUCCGGAUUUAUUGGGCGUAAAGAGCGUGUAGGCGGCCUUACAGGUCAGCUGUGAAAACUCGAGGCUCAACCUCGAGACGUCGGUUGAAACCGUAAGGCUAGAGUCCGGAAGAGGAGAGUGGAAUUCCUGGUGUAGCGGUGAAAUGCGCAGAUAUCAGGAAGAACACCCGUGGCUAAGGCGGCUCUCUAGUACGGUACUGACGCUGAGGAACGAAAGCGUGGGGAGCGAACAGG
rnacentral:rRNA from 1 species